UGGAUCCAGACUUUGAUUAUGGCUCAGGAUGAACGCUAGCGACAGGCCUAACACAUGCAAGUCGAGGGGCAGCAAGUUUGUAGCAAUACGAAUGUUGGCGACCGGCGCACGGGUGCGUAACAGGUGUGCAAUCUGUCCAUAAUCGGAGGAUAGCCCUGCGAAAGUAGGAUUAAACCUCCAUGUGAGCCGAUGGGGCAUCCCAUUGGUUUGAAACGUAAGGAUUAUGGGUGAGCACGCUUCUGAUUAGGUAGUUGGUGAGGUAACGGCUCACCAAGCCGACGAUCAGUAGGGGUUCUGAGAGGAAGGUCCCCCACAUUGGAACUGAGACACGGUCCAAACUCCUACGGGAGGCAGCAGUGAGGAAUAUUGGUCAAUGGACGGAAGUCUGAACCAGCCAAGUCGCGUGAAGGAUGAAGGUUCUAUGGAUUGUAAACUUCUUUUAUUCGAGGGUAAAGUGUGGUACGUGUACCAUAUUGCAAGUAUCGAAUGAAUAAGCAUCGGCUAACUCCGUGCCAGCAGCCGCGGUAAUACGGAGGAUGCGAGCGUUAUCCGGAUUUAUUGGGUUUAAAGGGUGCGUAGGCGGGCGAUUAAGUCAGCGGUGAAAGCGUGUGGCUCAACCAUACCACUGCCGUUGAAACUGGUUGUCUUGAGUGUAAACGAGGUAGGCGGAAUGUGAUGUGUAGCGGUGAAAUGCUUAGAUAUGUCACAGAACCCCGAUUGCGAAGGCAGCUUACCAGCAUACAACUGACGCUGAGGCACGAAAGCGUGGGUAUCAAACAGGAUUAGAUACCCUGGUAGUCCACGCAGUAAACGAUGAAUACUAGCUGUUGGCGAUAUAAUGUCAGCGGUAGAGCGAAAGUGUUAAGUAUUCCACCUGGGGAGUACGCCGGCAACGGUGCAACUCAAAGGAAUUGAC
rnacentral:rRNA from 1 species